GAUGAAGAACGUAGUGAAAUGCGAUACGUAAUGUGAAUUGCAGAAUUCAGUGAAUCAUCGAGUCUUUGAACGCACAUUGCGCCCCCUGGUAUUCCGGGGGGCAUGCCUGUCCGAGCGUCAUUGCUGCCCUCAAGCACGGCUUGUGUGUUGGGCCUCCGUCCUCCUCCCGGGGGACGGGCCCGAAAGGCAGCGGCGGCACCGCGUCCGGUCCUCGAGCGUAUGGGGCUUCGUCACCCGCUCUUGUAGGCCCGGCCGGCGCUUGCCGACACAUCAAUCUUUUUUCCAGGUUGACCUCGGAUCAGGUAGGGAUACCCGCUGAACUUAAGCAUAUCAAUAAGCCGGAGGA
rnacentral:misc_RNA from 1 species